UACAGAGGUGGCAAGCGUUGUUCGGAAUUACUGGGCGUAAAGGGCGCGUAGGCGGCCUCCGCAAGUCAGUUGUGAAAUCUCCGAGCUUAACUCGGAAAGGUCAACUGAUACUGCGGGGCUAGAGUGCGGAAGGGGCAACUGGAAUUCUUGGUGUAGCGGUGAAAUGCGUAGAUAUCAAGAGGAACACCUGCGGCGAAGGCGGGUUGCUGGGCCGACACUGACGCUGAGGCGCGAAAGCUAGGGGAGCGAACGGG
rnacentral:rRNA from 1 species